AGCCCUAGUUCUUCAUUGGUGCCCUAGAUCUGAUCUGCCCAUCUCCGGCUACUCAGUUUCAGUGAUACUGUUCGCCAUCUAUUCGGAGCAUCAGUUGUUAUCACCGGCCAUAAUUUCCAGCAAACUCACAACAAUUGUCUUCUGCUUGGUGCAGGAAAUGGCAGAGGCUGUGACGAAAGAUUUUGGAAGGAUUGA